rnacentral:rRNA from 1 species
UACAGAGGUCCCAAGCGUUGUUCGGAUUCACUGGGCGUAAAGGGUGCGUAGGUGGUGAGGUAAGUCCGAUGUGAAAGCUCCGAGCUCAACUCGGAAAUUGUAUUAGAAACUACCUUGCUAGAGGGUUGGAGGGGGGACUGGAAUUCUCGGUGUAGCAGUGAAAUGCGUAGAUAUCGAGAGGAACACCAGUGGCGAAGGCGAGUCCCUGGACAACUCCUGACACUGAGGCACGAAAGCUAGGGGAGCAAACAGG